rnacentral:lncRNA from 1 species
AAAUUGCAUAUGUGGGCUAUAAAUUCUGUAUUUGUUACAUUUUGUCACAUCUAAUUAGUAUUUGUUACUUUUUUCUCAGACUUUGGGAGUGAGUGCAAGCCUUGUGAAUUGAACAUCUCUGAACUCUGACUCUUUUGAAAUUGCCUUCCUGUCAAGCAGCCUUUCACACAGUCACAGAAAAGUUCCCUGAUCAACCUACUGGUCCCACUAAAAGAAACAGGUGUCUCGGUCUGCUGUUCCGGGAGUACUAUGAGUGAGAUACAUAACCUCUUUGCCUUUAAAAGCUCUCUGUACAUGCUUGCCUGAGAUGCACUAAAACUUUGAAAGGAAAUUUGGGCUGUGGGUAUGUACAACCAAUGUGAUAUCCCUAGGGGAGGAGUGCAAAACUGUCUCAUGCAACUGGGGAUGUGACGAGGAGAACUUGGUCUGACCUCCCCACUCACAGCUGUUCCU